UUUGUUGCCCUGCACAGGAGAACGGAGCUGGAAAGCAGGCCACUCCAUUCCAGAUUUCCAUCCAGUUUCUGUCCAGACAGACCAGCUGUUGGAUGGAGCCUGCCUUUCACCUCCCAAGUCCGUUUUGGUUGACUUCAUCGUGUCUGGAACAAACUGUCUAUUUCACAAGAUCAUUGUAAUAAGGAAUUUAAGUGAAAUUCCCCUGCAAGUUUCCUUGAACUCUCAGAGGAAAACAGAAUGUAAGUCUAAUAACUCAUCAUCCAUCUUCUGG